rnacentral:rRNA from 1 species
GACAGAGGGGGCUAGCGUUGCUCGGAAUCACUGGGCGUAAAGGGUGCGUAGGCGGGUUUUUAAGUCAGGGGUGAAAUCCUGGAGCUCAACUCCAGAACUGCCUUUGAUACUGAAGAUCUUGAGUCCGGGAGAGGUGAGUGGAACUGCGAGUGUAGAGGUGAAAUUCGUAGAUAUUCGCAAGAACACCAGUGGCGAAGGCGGCUCACUGGCCCGGUACUGACGCUGAGGCACGAAAGCGUGGGGAGCAAACAGG